GAAACCAAGUCUUAAUAGGGCGAUGAGUUCCGCGGAUAAGACCCGAAACCGAGUGAUCUAGAUAUGGGCAGGUUGAAGACACCUUAACCGGUGUUGGAGGACCGAACCCACGCCUGUUGCAAAAGGCGGGGAUGACCUGUGUCUAGGGGUGAAAGGCUAAUCAAACUCGGAUAUAGCUGGUUCUCCGCGAAAUCUAUUGAGGUAGAGCGUCGUGUGAU
rnacentral:rRNA from 1 species